ensembl:snRNA U1 U1 spliceosomal RNA
ACACCUACCUGACAGGGGAGAUACCAUGAUCACGAAGGUGGCUUUCCCAGGGCGAGGCUCAUCCAUUACACUCCGGAUGUGCUGACCCUGCGAUUUCCCCAAAUGUGAGAAACUCGACUGCAUGAUUUAUGAGAGUGGGGGACUGCGUUCCUGCUUCCCCUGC